UCGCACCCCGUACCCAUCUCUCCAAGCCCGACCGACCCAACAAGAAUAACCGGUUAGCUUCGUGGUGCAGCAAUCGAUCGAUCGGCCCACACAACCAGUCCUAGCACACAAAAGGAUCACACCGCCAAACAUCUCCGAUACACCAAAUACGGUGGUCAUUUCCCGUAAUAAAUCGGUCACCAAAGUCAAAAGGACGAGAUGCAUUUCAAUACAAUAGAAUACAUCAACACCGGACCCGUUAUUCUCAGAACCACAGUCUUAUUACCCAUCGCGAGAUAUCUACGACGUCUCACCAAUGGAGUGGGGGGGCUUACUGUUGGAGAUGGAUUUAACAUCCCUCCACAAGGCCCAUCGAAUAACAGCUUCCGGCCCAUCGGCACCAGAACUCCUUCUCGAUAUUGGUUCGAUUGAAUAGGUCGAUCGAUCUAACCGGGCGAUCGACCGACACGCUAGACUUAUUUUAGUUCAAUACGCUAUCGUUUGGCUUCGAAGCCCAUCAAGCCCAAACUUAGGCCCGAAGGUCCUAGGGCGAACACACCUUAGGGCAAACAGAAGGCAAAGGAACAAGGACUAUAAAAGGAGGAUAGAGGGGAAAGAGAAAGGGAUCCGAAAUACACUUUAGAGCACUGACGGCAAGAUUAGGGUUUACCAACCAAUCGAUCUACCUUGUGUUCUUGCCGGCGCUUUCAACAAAGCUCCGGCCUUUUCUUUCUUCCGUUUCACCUCCUUGUAGUCCGUUCAAACUCAUUCACUAAUUAAUAAAACGUCUUCGUAAGACCCACAAAACCGAAUCCUCUUUACUUUCAGUCGAUCUACAAACUCGGAUUCAACAGACGAGCAGAAGCAAGCUUCCAUGGAGAUCAGGCUCUUAUUCAAGAACAAACCUGAGAAUAGCAUCAAAAUCACCAAAGCCAAAGUGCUCAUCUCUCUGAUCUCAUCUUCGGAUCUUCAGCUCCAGGAAUACAGAGUUAUGGCGAUCCUGAUUUCUCCCUCUGCGACGAGAACAAAGACCCAAUUGCUUCUUUCGACGCCAUCAAGCCGCUCGUAUUUGUCUUCAUUGUGUUGGUUUUGAAAUGCGGCUGGUUUAGUUGAUCCAGCCUACUGGCGUAUUUGAAAAAGAAUUGAUGAUGCCUCUCUGUGAAGCCAAUGAGUUAGCCCAAGGCAAGUCUGAUAAUGUGUAUAUUUGGACAAACUCGAUAGAAUAAAAUUUGUUGGCUUUUUGUUUUUUGAUCAGUUCAGAAUUUCUGUGACCAUGAAACACAGUAGUUUUGCAUCACUUACAGGUCAGGUAUUGUCUUUGACAUUAUGGCUUGCUCGAGUUUACAUAGAAGAAUACGGAGACGAUGAUAUCUCCUUGUUGUUGACACUUGGUACACCUCACUUGUAGGUAACAAAAUCUUUUUGUUUUAGAUCAUCACACCGCAAGUCUGAUAGUCAUAAGCCAAUUAAGUUGUAAACCAAGGGAGUCUCUGCGUUUCACUUUAACGAUAUUAGCAACAUGGUGUAAGAGACUUGUGAAGCUUGAGCUUAGUGGUUGUGAAGGUAGCUUUGAUGGGAUUAAAACCAUGUGAAAUGUUGUGACUACAGACCUGCUGAGAAUCUCGUCUUGUGGAAAGGUGGAUCCUUGUAUUGGACCAGAGAAGUUGAUGAGGUCUUGUCCGGCUCUCGAGAGUUUGCAACUCAAAAAGUGUUGUUUGAAUGAUAAAGAAGGGAUGGGAGCUUCUUGGGGCAUUUUAUAUUUUAUAUUCGAUGGAUCCUUAUCCUGGACCAGAGAAGCGUUGGGAGCUUCUCGAUGGUUUGUAUCAAUUAGUACAUUGAUAUUUUGUAUAAAAUGAUAUUAUUGAGAAAAAUUAUUAUUGAUUUUAUUUUUGUUGUGAUGUUUGGAAAACCAAAGUAAGAUACUUGA